GAUGAACGCUGGCGGCGUGCCUAAUACAUGCAAGUCGAGCGAACGGACGAGAAGCUUGCUUCUCUGAUGUUAGCGGCGGACGGGUGAGUAACACGUGGAUAACCUACCUAUAAGACUGGGAUAACUUCGGGAAACCGGAGCUAAUACCGGAUAAUAUUUUGAACCGCAUGGUUCAAAAGUGAAAGACGGUCUUGCUGUCACUUAUAGAUGGAUCCGCGCUGCAUUAGCUAGUUGGUAAGGUAACGGCUUACCAAGGCAACGAUGCAUAGACGACCUGAGAGAGGGAUAGGCCACACGGGAGCUGAGACGCGGUCCUGACUCCUACGAGAGGCAGCAGUAGGGAAUCUGCCGCAGUGGGCGAAAGCCUGACGGAGCAACGCCGCGUGAGUGAUGAAGGUCUUCGGAUCGUAAAACUCUGUUAUUAGGGAAGAACAUAUGUGUAAGUAACUGUGCACAUCUUGACGGUACCGAAUCAGAAAGCCACGGCUAACUACGUG
rnacentral:rRNA from 1 species